rnacentral:rRNA from 1 species
GGAUUCCCCUAGUAACGGCGAGUGAAGAGGGAAUAGCCCAGCACCGAAGCCUGCGACAGUUUUGUUGUUAGGCAAUGUGGUGUUUGGGUCGGCUAGUGGGAUUGCCACUCCACUCGAAGUCCAGCAUUGAGUAUGGUCACUGGAUUUGGCCCAGAGAGGGUGAAAGGCCCGUACGGGUGGAGGUCUCAGACAAGUAAGGCAAUUCACCAGGCCGGCCUUAGAGUCGGGUUGUUUGUGAAUGCAGCCCAAAGUGGGUGGUAAACUCCAUCCAAGGCUAAAUACAAGCACGAGUCCGAUAGCGAACAAGUACCGUGAGGGAAAGUUGAAAAGUACUUUGAAGAGAGAGUAAACAGUACGUGAAACCGCAUGCAGGUAAACGGGUGGCGUCAAGCUGCAAGCCCAGAGGAUUCAGCUGGCUAGGAUGUUGUGUAUGCGCUUGCGCAUCUAUCAGUCAGAAUAAGAUGUGAUAGUCCACUGGUAAACGGUGGGCCCGGCCGCAAGGUUGGGAUAUGUGUACCGGGCGGAAGCCGGAGCAUGCUAUUCGUCUGUUGGGCUGUCUAGUCAGUGCACUUUCUCUGUGGUGAACACCACGACCGGUGGAAUUGCCAGUCUGCUGUAGUCAAGUCGUAUUCAGUCGGUUCUUGUAGCCAACUGGGUGCGAUCACAGGCAAACUCAGUAAACGGCGUAGGGGUGUUUCGGCAUCCCUGCGUGUUAUCGGCUGCUGGUUGUCAACGGGCCUGCCUGAUGAUUGUUGUAACCGUCAUUGGGUGGUCUGGUGGGCUAUGGUGGUAAGAAUAACUGUGCAAGGCAUCGGAGUUCUCGGCCUCAAAUGCAUCCUGCAUACACGUUACAAGUGGAGUGGGGUGCCAUUGCAACCUGCCUGUUGUUGG